rnacentral:rRNA from 1 species
AGAGUUUGAUCCUGGCUCAGAUUGAACGCUGGCGGCGUGCCUAACACAUGCAAGUCGAGCGGUAACAGGUGUAGCAAUACAUGCUGACGAGCGGCGAACGGGUGAGUAAUGCUUUGGAAUCUUCCCAGUAGUGGGGAAUAACCAGUCGAAAGAUUGGCUAAUACCGCAUACGUCUGUAAAGGGAAAGCGGGGGCUCGUAAGACCUCGCGCUAUUGGAUGAGCCAAAGUCGGAUUAGCUAGUUGGUGGGGUAAUGGCCUACCAAGGCGACAAUCCGUAGCUGGUCUGAGAGGACGACCAGCCACACCGGAACUGAGACACGGUCCGGACUCCUACGGGAGGCAGCAGUGGGGAAUAUUGGACAAUGGGGGAAACCCUGAUCCAGCGACGCCGCGUGUGUGAAGAAGGCCUGCGGGUUG